GAUGAACGCUGGCGGCGUGCUUAACACAUGCAAGUCGAACGAUGAAGCCCAGCUUUUUGUGUGGAUUCGUGGCGAACGGGUGAGUAACUCGCGCGUAACCUGCCCUUCACUCUGGGAUAAGUCUGGUAAACUGGCUCUAAUACUUGCUAUGUCUUCUCAUCGCAUGGUGGGUGGUGGAGAGAUUUAUUGUUCUUGGAUGGACUCUCGGCCUAUCAGCUUGUUGGUGAGGUGUUGGCUCACCAAGGCCUCGACGGGUAGCCGGCAUGAGAGGGUGAACGGCCACACUGGGAAUGAGAGACAGCCAAAAGUCGUACGGGGGGCAGGAGGGGGGAAUAUAGGAGAAAGGGCGCAAGCGUGAUGCAGCGACGCCGAGUGAGGGAUGACGGCCUUCGGGAUGUAAAAAUCUGUCAGUAGGGAAGAAGCGAGAGUGGCGGUACCUGCAGAAGAAGCGCCGGCUAAAUACG
rnacentral:rRNA from 1 species